UGUAUAUAUAUAAUCAGAGAUUUCCUCAAAGUGUUUACCAUUUUGGGGCUUGAGCAGUUGUUUAUGAACUAGGAACAGUGUGCUAUGUCUUUAGAUUCAUCCACCUUUUCCUUUCUUUUCCUUUGAAGAUUAGAAUCUGCGAUAGAAUAUUUUUACUCAGUGUCAAUUGAGCACACAAUUAACCAUGCUAUUUGAAGAAUUUCAUCAUGAGGUCUCCUUGCAGUGGUGAUUUUGUGGAAAGGUGCUUGUUUUAAAUACACCAAAGGGAUGUCUGUGUGAUAUGGAUUCCACGUGACCCAGAAAAGUAAAGAAAGGCAAGAGAUGAAAAAUGUAGUUUUCAAGCCUGAUAUUUCUAUCAAAUAUUCUAAAUUCAUCAGGAAGUCCCAUUCUAAAUGGCCCUCUGAGACCCAUGAUAUCUAAGAUUUUAAUAUCAAGUUUUCAGGUAAAAAAUACUGACUGACUUAGGAUAUUGAACAGUUAAAAUGUAGCUGUAAGUACUUUCUCUGCCCAUACUAUUUGGGAGUAGAUGUAGUAGCCAUUCGGGGUAACAUACCAGGUCUGGAAACUUGAGUUUGCACAGAUAUCCUCCAUUUAUCCAAUUAUGCAUGAGUCCUAACAGUGUUGAAUCCUCCCCAUUAGCUGCUGAUUAAAAAAAAAAAAAAAAUCUCCUUAAUUAAAAGGUUAAGCCCCUUCUCCUUAGUAUUUCUCUUUCAUUUCAGUUUGAAACCUUGAAGAACUGCAUUGAGGAGAGUUGAGUAAGGAAAUGGUUAACUUGAGUAUAUAUCUGUCCCAGGCUAGCUUGGGCCUGGGGUGGGAGUCAUCUCCCUUUUUUGUAUUUCCUUUCAAUGAGAUAACUGAGCAGAAAUUUUGAGAUAGAUGAGCUUAAAGAUAGAUGACCUUGGGAAUUUCAGAAGGUGAUGAGGAAGGCCUGGAAGACAAAUCAAAAAGUGGCCAUGGCAUCCAUUGCAGUGGACUGCACUAGCAGCCCCAGAAGCAUUUACACCCGAGAGAAAAGCAGGCAUCAGAAAGUGGGGUAAGGCAUUGAAAAGGAAGAGCAGAUUUGGAUCACAUUUGCUGUUUAAUCUGAUUAUAUUCACUAGAGGGGAAAUGGCUAAUUAGAAGAAUUAUCAAAUUGCAUUAUGUUUUCUAUGAGUCUUCUAGCAGAAAGUAACCUGGCUAUAAACAGGUUGUGAAAUCUGUUUAAAACAUUUUGUUAAUGCAUAAAGAAUAGAAUUUUUAAAUGCUUAUGAUUGCUUUGUGUAUAAGAAUAAAAUGAUCUGUCCUGUA